UACAGAGGGUGCGAGCGUUAAUCGGAAUUACUGGGCGUAAAGCGUGCGUAGACGGUUAUGUAAGUCGGAUGUGAAAGCCCCGGGCUCAACCUGGGAAUUGCAUUCGAGACUGCAUAGCUAGGAUGCGGAAGAGGGAAGUGGAAUUUCCGGUGUAGCGGUGAAAUGCGUAGAUAUCGGGAGGAACACCCGUAGCGAAGGCGGCACUCUGGGCCGGAACUGACGCUGAGGAGCGAAAGCGUGGGGAGCAAACAGG
rnacentral:rRNA from 1 species